rnacentral:tRNA from 1 species
AUCUAAAUAGUUUAUAAAAAAUAUAAAUUUGUGGAAUUUAAGAAAUAAUUUUAUUUUAGGUA